UUCAACGGCCGCGGUAUCCUAACCGUGCAAAGGUAGCAUAAUCACUUGCCCAUUAAUUGUGGGCUAGAAUGAAUGGACUAACGAAAUAAAAACUGUCUCUAUAAGCNCCAAUAAAAAUUAAUCUCUAACUGAAGAUUGUUAGAUAUCGUUGAAGGACAAGAAGACCCUAUAGAGCUUCAUUUUAAUAAAAACUAAUNNAUUUUAAUAAAANUUCGGUUGGGGCGACCGGGGAAGNNNACCAAUCAUCCCCUACAAAAANGAUUAAUUAAUCUUCUCUAUNNGACCCUUAANUUAAGAUCACCAGAAUAAGCUACCUUAGGGAUAACAGGCUAAUCCCACUAAAGAGUCCUUAUCAAUAGUGGGGGUUGGCACCUCGAUGUUGGCUUAGGGAAUCUAUACGGCGCAAAAGUCAUAUAAAGAUGGUUUGUUCAA
rnacentral:rRNA from 1 species